UAGCAUGUUUCCAAGUGCUGCUUGUAGCCAUGGGAUCUGCAACUGCAUGGCAGAGUAAUGGAGAUUCUGACAGCCCAGGUCAUCACAGUGCCUGCAGCUGCCACUCAGCUUUCCAAUAUGU